UGGCAGAUCUACCACCUGACUUCUGGAGAAAAGGAGCCAUGCCCAUGCCUUGAAACACACUUGGCUCUACGGUCACUAGGAAAUUGAUAUCUUGGGAAGUGCUCUACGGGAAUGGUCAGGUUGGAGAGAGAGACUGACUGCCAAGAAGACGUUAAGAAUGACAGAGUGUGAGAAGCUGCGCAACGCCAGCCUUGGCACAGACAGCUACGCCAUCCGAGGCCAAAGUGUACCUCUAAGGGAGCCCCAGUGGUUGGACCAAGCUACCGGGUGGCCUCAGAGGACAGCGAGGGGGCUGAAGCCUGAGGAAUACCUCUUUCUUCCUGGCUGCCCAGAGCCCUGCCCUCAUGCUCACACCACAUUCCUGCAAGGAGACAUUGCCUUGGUCUGCUAGCCUGGACCCUCUCAGAGUUGGAAGGGCCUUUUAGAGUAAGUGACUUGCUGGACUCAGACCAGGGUGGCAGAAGCAGAAUCUCAACCCAGAGCUUUGUGACGGCUACUUCCUCCACUGUGGCAAGCCAAGACCUCCAGCUCUGGGUGGCUGGCUUCAGAAUCAGCACAGCGACGCUGUGAUCUCAUGCUGAUUAAGAGCAAGAGAUAACAGCAUAGGUGGGGCUAUG
rnacentral:lncRNA from 1 species